rnacentral:rRNA from 1 species
UGUGUUUAGUGAUGUCUGAGUACUAUUAAAUAUUUAAAACUUUCACAACGGAUCUCUUUGGUUCUGGCAUCGAUGAGAACGCAGCGAAAUGCGAUAAGUAAUGUGAAUNGCAGAAUUCAGUGAAUCAUCGAAUCUUGAACGCACAUUGCGCCCCUUGGUAUUCCGAGGGGCAUGCCUGUUCGAGCGUCAUUAUGACCACUCAAGCCUAGCUUGGUAUUGGGGUGCGCGUGCUCGCGGCCCUUANAAUCAGUGGCGGUGCCGUCUGGCUCUAAGCGUAGUAAUCUCUCUCGCUACAGAGUUCCGGCGGUUGCUUGCCAAAACCCCAACUUCUUAGGUUGACCUCGGAUCAGGUAGGGAUACCCGCUGAACUUAAGCAUAUCAAUAAGCGGAGGAAAAGAAACCAACAGGGAUUGCCUCAGUAACGGCGAGUGAAGCGGCAACAGCUCAAAUUUGAAAUCUGGCUCUUUCAGGGUCCGAGUUGUAAUUUGUAGAAGAUGCUUUGAGUGUGGCUCCGGUCUAAGUUCCUUGGAACAGGACGUCAUAGAGGGUGAGAAUCCCGUACGUGACUGGGUGCCUUCGCUCGUGUAAAGCUCUUUCGACGAGUCGAGUUGUUUGGGAAUGCAGCUCAAAAUGGGUGGUAAAUUUCAUCUAAAGCUAAAUAUUGGCCAGAGACCGAUAGCGCACAAGUAGAGUGAUCGAAAGAUGAAAAGCACUUGGAAAGAGAGUUAAACAGUACGUGAAAUUGUUGAAAGGGAAGCGCUUGCAACCAGACUUGCAGGCGGUUGAUCAUCCGAGCUUCUGCCCGGUGCACUCGAUCGUCUUCAGGCCAGCAUCGGUUUUGGUGGGCGGAUAAAGGCCUUGGGAAUGUAGCUUCUUUCGGGGAGUGUUAUAGCCCUCGGUGCAAUGCGCCCUACCGGGACCGAGGACCGCGCUCGGCUAGGAUGCUGGCGUAAUGGUUGUAAGCGACCCGUCUUGAAACACGGACCAAGGAGUCUAACAUCUAUGCGAGUGUUUGGGUGUCAAACCCAUACGCGUAAUGAAAGUGAACGGAGGUGAGAACCCUUAAGGGUGCAUCAUCGACCGAUCCUGAUGUCUUCGGAUGGAUUUGAGUAAGAGCAUAGCUGUUGGGACCCGAAAGAUGGUGAACUAUGCCUGAAUAGGGUGAAGCCAGAGGAAACUCUGGUGGAGGCUCGCAGCGGUUCUGACGUGCAAAUCGAUCGUCAAAUUUGGGUAU